AUAGAUAGACAUCUUUGAUGAUAAUUUUUUUCAGAUAAAAUUUAGAGAUUAAGAUAGAUGAAUUUUGAGAAGCUCAAUCUCUUUUUUGUUUUGGAUAUCUAUCUAAGUCGGGAUUCAACUACUAUAAAUACCUAAAUUGUUGCAACAAUUAAGGGGGAAAGCAAUUGCACAGAGAGAAUUCACACAAAAAAGAGAGUGAAAAUAGAAAAAAAAGAUAGGUGAGAGUUUGGCCAGAAGAGGGGACUGAUUUGGAGUAUUUUUAGUUUGUUUUUUCCGGGUUUGAAAGGUUUUUAAGUGUGAUUUUGAGGAAAAGUUGUAGAUAAUAGUGUUUGUGAGAUCAAAUCUGUCGAAGGGAGGAUUUGCUGAAAUUUUUUUUUUAAAUAUCUAGAAAUUCUCCAAAUUCCAUUGAGUUUUUCAGUAAGUCUUUGGUACUUUCGUCGAAAUUGCAACGACAUUUUAAAGUUUUCAAUGAGAUUUUUCAAAAUCUAGUGCCAGAGUUCAUCGUUUCUGGGUUUGGGAAGAUUGAGGUUAGAGAAAAAUUAGCUUAGAGAGAGAAGGGAGAAAUAAAUUGUAAGGAAAAAACUUUGGCUUUUAUAGAAGCCAAAACGCACUCUUUUAUUAAAAGAGAAUCCAUGUGCUUCCGUUAGCCCAAUCCGACUAGAGCGCUUGCAACUCGCGACUCGCUUCAGCAUCCAGCAGUUCAAGCUGGGCUGAGCCAUCAGCCGAAUCAGUCUUGAGCCACCGAGCCACACCACUUACUAAGCCGAACUGGUAGGGAGGGAAAGAGAAAUAGUUUAGGUGGUGGGUUUAAGGAUUUUCGAAGGCUAUUGAGUCACCACCAAUGGCGAUUAUAGCGGUAGCAGACGUCGGUUGAUAGAGUUUUGGAGAUCGGAGUCCACCAUGAGGAAGGGUACAAAGAGUUUUAGGUGUUUUCAGGGAAAUCUAGCCAGGAAAUUGGAAAGAGGGGAUCGCGAUGAGAAUUUUGGUAAAUUUUGGUACAAGUUUAGCACUGGUGGCCGGCGGUGAUCGGCGAUUGACGACGGCUGCCAAAGAAGAGCGGUCCCGGAAUCUGGGAAAGCUUGACAAUCCGGGCCGGGAUUCAUCUUGGUUAGAGAAAGGGUGAGAGAAAAUCCGGUCAGAUAGAGUGGUGAAGGGAAAAGUGAGAAUGCAAAUAAAUUUUUUUGAAGUUUUAUAUAAAGCUGAAACGUGGUGUUUUGAAUAACCCAAGAUCCGCACCUUUUUUUGUUACCCCAACCAGGAACCCGUGUAGAAGACUUGAAAACCCGGGGUUCCUUCUUCAGCUGAGCCUAUUGAGGGAGCCAUUUUGCGAGCCGUCGAGCAAUUACAUUAGGGGAGCCGAGACGGUUUUUGGUUUUUUUUUUUUUUAUAUUUUGGUUUUUUUUUUAUUUAUUUGUUUAAAAAUUAAAUUCAUGAAUCUGAGUUAAGGUGCACGCCUCUUUAAGAAAGAUAGAUAUAAUACAUAAUCAAUCGUAUUUAAAUAAAAAAUAAUUAAUGACAAAUUUCGUGUACAGUAUCUAAUGAUCAAGUUUUAAACUUGUUCGUUACAACAUCAUGUUUUCAUAUCAUAAAAUUUAGUUUUGGAUAUCCCAAUUAUAAAA